GAUGAACGCUGGCGGCGUGCUUAACACAUGCAAGUCGAACGGAAAGGCCCAAGCUUGCUUGGGUACUCGAGUGGCGAACGGGUGAGUAACACGUGGGUGAUCUGCCCUGCACUUCGGGAUAAGCCUGGGAAACUGGGUCUAAUACCGGAUAGGACCACAUUUUGGAUGGUGUGGUGGAAAGUUUUUCGGUGUGGGAUGAGCUCGCGGCCUAUCAGCUUGUUGGUGGGGUAAUGGCCUACCAAGGCGUCGACGGGUAGCCGGCCUGAGAGGGUGUACGGCCACCAUGGGACUGGGGUACGGCCCAGACUCCCACGGGGGGCAAGAGGGGGGAAUAUUGCACCAUGGGCGCAAGCCUGAUGCAGCGACGCCGCGUGGGGGAUGACGGCCUUCGGGUUGUAAACUCCUUUCGCUAGGGACGAAGCGUUAUGUGACGGUACCUGGAGAAGAAGCACCGGCUAACUACGUG
rnacentral:rRNA from 1 species